GGACAUAGCUCAGUUGGUAUAGAGUGCUUGCCUUGCAUGCACAAGGCCCUGGGUUUAAUCCCCAGCACCA
rnacentral:tRNA from 1 species